GAUGCUGUGCCUGAUGACGAUGAAGAAUUAUGGCAGAGUCCUUUGUAAUGGGUAUGAAGCUUUAAACGACCCACUCGUUAUGUACUUCCAUUGCGUGACGCCUGUAUGUUACUU
rnacentral:lncRNA from 1 species